CUGGUGCCAGAGCUGCCGAGCCUGCCUCACCUCACGCCGGGGGAAAGAGUCUCACUCACAGGCUGGCACAGCGCGGCAGGUCACUGGAUCCCCUCGAUGAAAGCAGGAUCUUGAAGCAGGGCUGGACAAGCUUCUUUCAGAUCUGCCUCUGUGAGGAAUUGGUGUGCAAUUGAAGUCUCCUUUAAGUGUAACUUCCCCCUGUUAUUAAUAACCCAGCAAUUGUGCCCUUCAACAAGACGAAACGUCCCUCCUUAUCCUUAAAUUGAUCUUUAAUCUGAAAAAGUUCAGGUUUAGAAAAUAUGAUGCUCACUCCUUUCUUUUCUUUGGCUGAAGCAAAAAGAAA